GUGAGAAGGAGGAUCAUCUGCUUCUGGAUUGUAGUUUACUACUGGAAACUGAGACCAUGGAAAGCAAAACCAUGGAUAAAAGGACAGAGUUGGGCCUGAUUUCAACUCCUCAUCACAGGUCCAGAAGGAGCCUUUCCUCUGGUAUAUGUAGUCCCUGGAUCUACUUGGAACAUCCAAAGGCCAAGAAAAGAGCGAGCUUUAAGAUGAUCUUGCAUAAAACAAAUCAGAGAGUAAAAAUAGUGAGCCACCAUAUUAAACCAUGAUUGAAAUGAGACCCAUCUCUGGAUUGUUCAGUUAUGUGAGUUAUCAAGCAAACCUG